GAUGAACGCUAGCUACAGGCUUAACACAUGCAAGUCGAGGGGUAACAAGAGAAAAGCUUGCUUUUCUUGUUGACGACCGGCGCACGGGUGAGUAACGCGUAUCCAACCUGCCUAUAACUAGGGAAUAACCUUGCGAAAGUAAGACUAAUACCCUAUGAUUUCCUUUGAUGACAUCAGAUUAGGAAUAAAGAUUUAUCGGUUAUAGAUGGGGAUGCGUCUGAUUAGCUUGUUGGCGGGGUAACGGCCCACCAAGGCAACGAUCAGUAGGGGUUCUGAGAGGAAGGUCCCCCAGAUUGGAACUGAGACACGGUCCAAACUCCUACGGGAGGCAGCAGUGAGGAAUAUUGGUCAAUGGGCUGAAGCCUGAACCGGCCAAGUAGCGUGCAGGAUGACGGCCCUAUGGGUUGUAAACUGCUUUUAUACAGGAAUAAAGUUAGCCACGUGUGGUUAUUUGUAGGUACUGUAUGAAUAAGGACCGGCUAAUUCCGUGCCAGCCGCCGCCGUAA
rnacentral:rRNA from 1 species